UACGUAGGGACCAAGCGUUGUCCGGAAUCAUUGGGCGUAAAGAGCGUGUAGGCGGCUUGUUAAGUCUUGCGUGAAAUCUCGGGGCUCAACCCCGAGCGGUCGUGAGAAACUGGCAGGCUAGAGUGCGGGAGAGGAGAGUGGAAUUCCUGGUGUAGCGGUGAAAUGCGUAGAUAUCGGGAGGAACACCUGUGGCGAAAGCGGCGCACUGGACCAUAACUGACGCUGAGGCGCGAAAGCUAGGGGAGCAAACAGG
rnacentral:rRNA from 1 species